UGGGGAAUUUUGCACAAUGGGGGAAACCCUGAUGCAGCGACGCCGCGUGAUUUAGAAGGCCUUCGGGUUGUAAAAAUCUUUUCUAUGGGAAGAAAAUGACAGUAUCAUAGGAAUAAGGACCGGCUAAUUACGUGCCAGCAGCCGCGGUAAUACGUAAGGUCCGAGCGUUGUCCGGAAUCAUUGGGCGUAAAGGGUACGUAGGCGGGUAAGCAAGUUAGAAGUGAAAUCCUAUAGCUCAACUAUAGUAAGCUUUUAAAACUGCUCAUCUUGAGGUAUGGGAGGGAAGGUGGAAUUCCUAGUGUAGCGGUGAAAUGCGCAGAUAUUAGGAGGAAUACCGGUGGCGAAGGCGACUUUCUGGCCAUAACCUGACGCUGAGGUACGAAAGCGUGGGUAGCAAACAGG
rnacentral:rRNA from 1 species